AGGUCAGUAGGUUGGUCGUGCCACCGGUACGUACUGGUCUCACUGAUUCCUCCUUCCUGAAGAACCGUAAUGCCAUUAAUUUGGUGUUGCGGAGAAACAGGACUGUUACUUUGAAAAAAUUAGAGUGUUUAAAGCAAGCUAACGCUUGAAUACAUUAGCAUGGAAUAAUGAAAUAGGACGAUCGAUCCUAUUUUGUUGGUUUCUAGGAUUGACGUA
rnacentral:rRNA from 1 species